AACGAACGCUGGCGGCAUGCCUAACACAUGCAAGUCGAACGAAGUCUUCGGACUUAGUGGCGCACGGUUGCGUAACGCGUGGGAAUCUGCCCUUGGGUGCGGAAUAACUUCUCGAAAGGGAUGCUAAUACCGCAUAAUGUCGUAAGACCAAAGAUUUAUCGCCCAAGGAUGAGCCCGCGUAAGAUUAGCUAGUUGGUGGGGUAAAAGCCUACCAAGGCGACGAUCUUUAGCUGGUCUGAGAGGAUGAUCAGCCACACGUGGGACUGAGACACGGCCCAGACUCCGUACGGGAGG
rnacentral:rRNA from 1 species